rnacentral:lncRNA from 1 species
CUGUGGACAGCCAACACUGAAAGAUACAGCAAUGUGAUUGUAGGACUUAAUGACACAAUGGAAAACCUUUUGGCUGCUGUGGAUAGAGAUGAAGCUGAAAUAUCUCCUUCUACAUUGUAUGCUAUUGCUUGUGUUCUUGAAAAUGUGCCUUUUAUCAAUGGAAGUCCACAGAACACUUUUGUCCCAGGUCAGGAAUCUCGAUUACAUACACAUAACGAGUUUAAUCAGUUUAAUAUUUGACAUGUGGACCAUCGUCUCACAUGAUAUUAACUUAAUUUUUCAAGGGGGAGAGUUCAUUUAGGUAGCUUGCUACCUGGGCGCCCAUGUGUUGCACUAUUAGACGGGCCUGGCGAACCCUUAAAAAAAACAUAUACAUAACGCGUUAUUAAAACUGUAUAAUAUUGCUUUGGAAAACCACCUUUCUUUUCGUCUCUCUUAAGCUGAGGGUCUAUCCGAAACAGCCUCUCUACCUUCAAGGUAGGGGUAAGGCCUGCGUACCCAUAUCCUACUUGUGGGAUUACACUGAAUUUGUUGUUGUUGUUGCUUUGGAAAACCAGUUGUAUUUUAGCUUCUAUAGUAAGUAAUUUUUUUUGCUGGAUACUAUAUUACUAUUUCUCAGGUCUAAUUGAUUUGGCCAUAAAGAGGAACACUUUGAUUGGUGGUGAUGACUUUAAGAGUGGUCAAACCAAGAUGAAGUCAGUGCUGGUUGAUUUCCUAGUUGGAGCCGGUAUUAAGGUAUGGCUUUUGCUGUUAAUUUCAGAGAUUUGAAAUGUCGAAUCACUUUAUACACAUGAAUACAUACAUAAUUUUGAAGCUAUUGAGCGAUGAUAUAGUAUUGUUGGCGUGGAUGAAUUUAAAUGGAGAAUGUGAGGAUUCAUAUAACAGACCCCAACUUGUUUGGAAUAGAGGUGUAGUAGUAGUAUAGUAGAAGCAAUAACAUACUCGUGCUAAAACUCGUGGUUUUUUUUUUAUAUUACAGCCAACAUCAAUUGUGAGCUACAAUCACCUGGGUAACAAUGAUGGAAUGAAUCUUUCCGCCCCUCAAACUUUCCGGUCUAAGGAGAUCUCGAAGAGCAAUGUUGUCGAUGACAUGGUUUCCAGCAACGCCAUUCUCUAUGAAGCUGGCGAGCAUCCUGACCAUGUUGUUGUGAUCAAGGUAAUAAUAUAACGCGAGAAAGCUAUAUUUAAUGUACACAAACAUGCAUUUUAAAUUUCUCAAAAACUAAUGUUUGGUUUCGGAUUCAAUCAGUAUGUCCCCUAUGUUGGAGAUAGUAAGAGAGCAAUGGAUGAGUACACAUCAGAGAUUUUCAUGGGUGGAAAGAACACAAUAGUUUUGCACAACACUUGUGAGGAUUCUCUUUUGGCAGCUCCAAUUAUAUUAGACUUGGUCCUUCUCGCCGAACUCAGCACUCGCAUUCAGCUCAAAGCUGAAGGAGAGGUCAGUUACUUUUUCACUAAAUUCACGUGUGAAGGGGAGCCUUGGCGUAACUGUUAAAGUUGCUACCAUGUGACCGGGAGGUCAUGUGCUCGAGCCGUGAAAAUAGGAAAUGCAGGGUAAGGCUGCAUACAAUAGACCCUUGUAGUCCGGUCUUUCCUCGAACCCUUAGUGCACCGGGCUGCCCCUUACACUUACAAUGUUGUGUAAUUCUGAUGAUAAGUGACUGUUUUUCAGGGGAAGUUCCAUUCUUUCCAUCCUGUGGCUACUAUACUCAGCUACCUCACAAAGGCUCCUCUGGUAAAGUUUCUAUAAGGAUUAUUAUUCUUCAGUUCAAACUUCAAACAAAUUCAAACAGUAAACAAUAUGCAAUUAUCAGUGCUAGUGAAAAAGUAGCAAGAGUGAAAAAUUGAUAGAUAAUUGGGUCAGAGCAUGUGCUAGGUCUGUAGCUGAUAUGACAUUGUUGGAUUCUUUCAUCUUAUUAAAUGAAUGACCAGAACUAUCUGUGGUCCACAAGAUAAACAUAGAAAUGUGGCACAAACGAGCAGUUAUUCAUAUUUUCAUAUGCACAUAGACUAAAGGACAAUAUUGGACAGCGAUGCGCUUAAAUGGAUCAACUAAGUUGCUCGGACUCUUCACUUUCAGUGCCGCACCUGUGUCGAUACGACGUGGGUGUGGAUAUGGGUGUGGGGUCCUUACCAGAUCUGGUCAACUGACUUUGGGUACUUUGACCAAAAUCGAUUAAGAAAUUCAGGAUAUGUACAAUGAAUUUUGAAAUCCAAACAAAAGUUAGGGUAAAAUUAAAGAAUACUUAAUACCUUGUAUAUAGAAAUUUUUAUGUCAGUCUUAUUCCUUUUAUCUCCUUUUUGGAUUCUCCUCUUGAUCAGUAUUCUUUUCUUCUUAGAAUACCUUGUAAGUAUUCAUAUAAUGUCUCAUAAUUUAGAUAUAUCUUUAUAACUCUAUUUUUAGAUACUUGAAUUAUGUUUAGCCGAAUUUCCGCACCCAUAGUCGUACCUGGAUCCAUACCCCCGAAUCUUAAAAUUUAGAUCAUAUGAAAGAUCCAACCUCUAGAUCUGCACCCGUAUCGAACACCUACACCCGAGUCCGAGCAACUUAGUGGAGCAACAUAGACAUUCAGAAUUCAUAUAGCCGACUCCAACUUGCUUAUUGAGGUGUAGUUAUUCUUGUGCAUAAACUAAAAGAUAUGCAGAAGUCGCAACAAACUAAAAAGGGACUUCACAUGUAUCACAAAUGUGUCGUUUCAGCUCUAAUUUUCAUAUUUUUUUCGCUUGUAAUCCGUUGAUUUUUGGUAAUAGUUUUUCCUUAACUGUUGUUGUGAAUUGGAAAACAGGUACCACCAGGUACACCAGUGGUGAAUGCCCUGUCAAAGCAGAGGGCAAUGCUUGAGAAUAUACUGAGAGCUUGUGUUGGUUUGGCACCAGAGAACAACAUGAUUUUGGAAUACAAAUGAAAAUGCAGAUGAAGGAAAUUAAUAGAAGAGAAUGGACUCAAGAUUAGUUGCAUGUGCUGAAGAUCAUUUUCUCUUCUUUUUCCUUUUCUAUUUUCUCAUCAAUAUAUAAUUAAGCAAAGUGUGCCAAUUUUCGUUUUAGUAAAUCUACUUUGCCUUUUCUUUUGUACGAGUUAGAUUUUAUGCACUGAC